GUCCCUGUCAAGCCGAAUCCAUUUUAGGUACGGAGGAACCAGUUAAGGCUAUUCCAGCCAGGGGUGAAUCGCAUAAGGUUCACUUAUGUGUAGGGUUGUCCUUUCCACCCGAACCCGUCAGCUAACUCCGGAGGCGUUAAGAAAGGAGGA
rnacentral:sRNA from 2 species